UACAGAGGUCCCAAGCGUUGUUCGGAUUCACUGGGCGUAAAGAGUGUGUAGGCGGUGCUCUAAGUUCGGUGUGAAAUCUCCCGGCUUAACUGGGAGGGUGCGCCGGAAACUGGAGUGCUCGAGCGUGGGAGAGGAAAGCGGAAUUCCUGGUGUAGCGGUGAAAUGCGUAGAUAUCAGGAGGAACACCUGCGGUGUAGACGGCUUUCUGGACCAUUGCUGACGCUGAGACACGAAAGCGUGGGUAGCAAACAGG
rnacentral:rRNA from 1 species